CCUUGACAUGCUGAGAACUUUCCAGAGAUGGAUUGGUGCCUUCGGGAACUCAGACACAGGUGCUGCAUGGCUGUCGUCAGCUCGUGUCGUGAGAUGUUGGGUUAAGUCCCGUAACGAGCGCAACCCUUGUCCUUAGUUACCAGCACGUUAUGGUGGGCACUCUAAGGAGACUGCCGGUGACAAACCGGAGGAAGGUGGGGAUGACGUCAAGUCAUUAUGGCCCUUACGGCCAGGGCUACACACGUGCUACAAUGGUCGGUACAAAGGGUUGCCAAGCCGCGAGGUGGAGCUAAUCCCAUAAGACCGAUCGUAGUCCGGAUCGCAGUCUGCAACUCGACUGCGUGAAGUCGGAAUCGCUAGUAAUCGUGAAUCAGAACGUCACGGUGAAUACGUUCCCGGGCCUUGUACACACCGCCCGUCACACCAUGGGAGUGGGUUGCUCCAGAAGUAGCUAGUCUAACCCUCGGGAGGACGGUUACCACGGAGUGAUUCAUGACUGGGGUGAAGUCGUAACAAGGUAAGCGUAGUGCU
rnacentral:rRNA from 1 species